rnacentral:snRNA from 1 species
AGCUUUGCGCAGAGGCAGUGUCAUAGCCAAUGAGGUACUACCGAGGCAUGACUAUUGCUAGUUGAAAACCCUUAUACUCAUAUUAUUUUACUCUUCAGUGCAGUAUUAAAAAAAUAACUAUGGUAUUUACGAUUAAA